rnacentral:rRNA from 1 species
AAUCAACGCUGGCGGCGUGCCUCAGACAUGCAAGUCGAACGAUUAAAGCUCUCUUCGGAGAGUGCAUAGAGUGGCGCACGGGUGAGUAACACGUAAGUAAUCUACCCUCGAGUGGGGAAUAACGUCCGGAAACGGACGCUAAUACCGCAUAAUGCAGCGGCACCGCAAGGUGACAGUUGUUAAAGAUUUAUCGCUUGAGGAGGAGCUUGCGGCAGAUUAGCUAGUUGGUAAGGUAAUGGCUUACCAAAGCUACGAUCUGUAACCGGUCUAAGAGGACGGUCGGUCACACUGACACUGAAUAACGGGUCAGACUCCUACGGGAGGCAGCAGUCGGGAAUUUUGGGCAAUGGGCGAAAGCCUGACCCAGCAACGCCGCGUGGAGGAUGAAGUAUUUCGGUAUGUAAACUUCGAAAGAAUAGGAAGAAUUAAUGACGGUACUAUUUAUAAGGUCCGGCUAACUACGUGCCAGCAGCCGCAGUAACAC